rnacentral:rRNA from 1 species
GAUGAACGCUGGCGGCGUGCCUAAUACAUGCAAGUCGAGCGAACGGACGAGAAGCUUGCUUCUCUGAUGUUAGCGGCGGACGGGUGAGUAACACGUGGAUAACCUACCUAUAAGACUGGGAUAACUUCGGGAAACCGGAGCUAAUACCGGAUGAUAUUUUGAACCGCAUGGUUCAAAAGUGAAAGACGGUCUUGCUGUCACUUAUAGAUGGAUCCGCGCUGCAUUAGCUAGUUGGUAAGGUAACGGCUUACCAAGGCAACGAUGCAUAGCCGACCUGAGAGGGUGAUCGGCCGCACUGGAACUGAGACACGGUCCAGACUCCUACGGGAGGCAGCAGUAGGGAAUCUUCCGCAAUGGGCGAAAGCCUGGCGGAGCAACGCCGCGUGAGUGAUGAAGGUCUUCGGAUCGUAAAACUCUGUUAUUAGGGAAGAACAUAUGUGUAAGUAACUGUGCACAUCUUGACGGUACCUAAUCAGAAAGCCACGGCUAACUACGUG